UGGGGAAUAUUGGACAAUGGGGGCAACCCUGAUCCAGCAAUGCCGCGUGUGUGAAGAAGGUCUUCGGAUUGUAAAGCACUUUCGACGGGGACGAUGAUGACGGUACCCGUAGAAGAAGCCCCGGCUAACUUCGUGCCAGCAGCCGCGGUAAUACGAAGGGGGCUAGCGUUGCUCGGAAUGACUGGGCGUAAAGGGCGUGUAGGCGGUUUACACAGUCAGAUGUGAAAUCCCCGGGCUUAACCUGGGAGCUGCAUUUGAUACGUGUAGACUAGAGUGUGAGAGAGGGUUGUGGAAUUCCCAGUGUAGAGGUGAAAUUCGUAGAUAUUGGGAAGAACACCGGUGGCGAAGGCGGCAACCUGGCUCAUGACUGACGCUGAGGCGCGAAAGCGUGGGGAGCAAACAGGUUAGGAUACCCUGGUAGUCCACGCCUGUAAACGAUGUGUGCUAGAUGU
rnacentral:rRNA from 1 species